UUUCAGGCUAAGAUGGCAGCAAACCGUUCGUGUAGGACGGUGACGAUGACGGGAGCCAGCCAGCGUGGCUGGGGUGUCAGAGGUGCUACGGAGCUCAGGGGAGCAGCAGCGUCCUCGGGGACCCAGCAAGGCUGCAAUGCAGGCAUCUCAUCACUUGGCAUAAAGUUCUUCAGUGGCUCUCCGUGGAUUAAGGCCCUGCCCAUUCCCACCCCCACCAAACUGGCCCCGUUUCCCUGAACCUGACGAGUGACGUCAUGUGUCCGUGCUGGCGCAGAUACAGAACACUUCCAACGCCGCGUACAAUUCUAUCAGCCAGUGCCGAUCUGCAAAGAAGGCAUCCGAGAUGGGCCAGGAGGCUGCAGAGCCCUGGAGGCUGUGAACUGGUCCAGGAUAGACGAGGGGGCAGCAUGGGGGUGCUGGCAGAGCUGGUUUCUGGUCUGGGCUCUGCUACUCACCAGCUGCGUGGUUUGGGGCCAAACGCUUGGCCUCUCUGGGCCUCAGUAGCUUGUAAAAUUAGAUUGUACUGGAUGAUUUGAAAUUUUUUUAAUUAAAAAUUUGUUUUCCAGUU